AGAGGUGUAGGUCGUAAAAAGAUUUCUAAUCUUUUGUACAAGCAGUUCGACUCUGUUUACUUCUU
rnacentral:tRNA from 1 species